rnacentral:lncRNA from 1 species
UUCGAUUACUUUCUCCUUUCCCCUAUCCAACUUUGGUCCUCUAAGUUCUUGAGCUAAAUCAAACAAAUUUACUUCUCAAUCAAACACAUACAUACGGCAACCAUAUACAUUUCAAAAACCAAUUCAUUCGUAUCAUUUGUCCACUUAAGUCUAUCACCAUUUCAUUUUCAAAUUUAUGUACUUUGUAAGUCACAUUCGAACACAUUCGGUACUAUGCAUCUUUUCAAAUAUUUCUUUUAACAUUAAACUCAACUUAUAACUUUCUUCUAAUUAAAAACAUUCAACACCAACUAGUCAUGCUUACAUGUCAUAGCCGAAUAUCAUUUUAGACAUUUGAGAAAUCAUUUCUCAACUCAACUUAUAAUUGUGAAUCUCAUUCAAAACAUCCACACCAAUUUAUUAUACAAUUAACCAUAGCCAAAUACUAAAUCAAAUAGAUAUUUGUUCACAUUUCCAUAACACAUAUUUAUCAACUAGUCCAUAUAUUAGCUUUUAGUCAUUAGAGUGACCUAUUUAACUUUCAAGCAUUCAUUUCUAAUUUUAAUUAAACGAUGCCGAAUGCCAUUAACUACUAAUGCCACACACACAUAUGCAUAAAAUUCAUCCAUACAUAACCUAUAGCUCAUUCGGCCAUUCAUCACUCAAACCAAUCAAAGCUUCAUAUCAAACUUCCUUGGCCGAGUACACAUAUAAGCACAUAAUGCACAUAUAUGCUCAUUUGUCUAGCUCAACUUCACCUAUCUACCAUUACUCAUAAAAAGAACAUGAAACAACCAUUUCCUUCAAUUCAAUUUAUGACCGAAUGCUCACAACACAAUAAUUUUCAAAAUUUAAACAUGGGUUAACUAAGCAAUGCUUUGACCAUGCUAAUUUCGCAAGAAUAUCAAGAAAAUACAUGGAACAUACCUUUGAAUCAUGCUAAGUAAAUGACAGAAUGUGCUUGAGCAUUUUCCUCUAUUUUUCUCUUAAUUUCGGCUAUGAAGAACAAAGAUGAACAAGUUUUGUCCUUUUCCUCAUUUUGUUAUUUUAUUUAUCUUUAUUUUAUAAUAUAAAGCCAUUAAAUAUUUUAAUGCUAAUUUAAAAUGCAUAUAUUGUUUAUCAUUAUCAUUAUGGCCAGCCACUACAAAUUAAAGUGGAAAAUUUGACAUGCAAAUCCACUUAUUUUAAACCAUAAAAUAUUUGGCCACUACAAAUUAACCUAUCACAUUUUCAAAAUUUCUCACAUAAGUCCUAUUUAAUAAUUUCACAUACAAAUGACAAAAUCAAAGUAUGAAAUUUUCAUACAUACACUUUCACAUAUAAUAAGCAUAGAAUAUAACAUUUAAUUAUUUUUUUGUGAUUCGGUUUUGUGAUCCCGAAACCACUUUUUGACUAGGAUCAAAUUAGGGCUGUCACAUCAUUGCCCUCUUCUUAUGUCAUUGGAUAAGAAAAAUAAAACGGCUCACAUAUCCUCGUUUCGGUUUGAAGCAUCAUGGUUAUUAGAAGACUCCUUUAAGAAGAUGAUUAUAGAGUCUUGGUAGAAUUUAACAGGGCUAUUAACAGAUAAGUUGGAGGGGUUAAAACAGAGAAUUCUUCUAUGGGCAAACCAAAUAAAUAAUGCAAGAAGAGGUAUCAAGUAGAAUAUAAAAAACAAUGGGAAUGCUUGCUGGAUGAGGAUAUAAGUGAAGAAAACUUGGCUAAAAUCAUUGAUACGAAAAUUUCUCUCAAUCUAGAAAUUGACAAAGAUAAAGCUUACUGGAAGCAAAGUGCACGUGUUAAUUGGCGGAGAUUAGGAGAUAGAAACACAACAUUCUUUCACAAAUGGGCCACACAACGACAUAAAACUAAUGAUAUUCGUAGUUUGCAAGAUCAUAAUGGGGGGAACAUGGAUGAUGAAGAUGGGAUACAAGGAUUAUAAAGAAUUAUUUUUAGGAUUUGUUUGCGUCUUUAGGAAUAAGUUAUACGGAGAUGAGUUUAUAGGGAGUGCAGAGAUGUAUAACUGAAGAUAUGAAUGCACAACUUACAGUAGAAUAUACGGCUGAAGAAAUAUGGGCAGCAUUAAAGGGAAUAGGUCCUACAAAAGCCCUCGGUACCGAUGGACUUCCAGUAAUUUUCUUUCAAAAAUGUUGGAACAUAGUUGGGACAGAGGUAACCUCUUUUUGUUUGGAGAUUUUAAAUCAGAGGAAAGAUUUAGAGAGUAUUAAUGGUACGAAUAUUGUUUUAAUUCCUAAAACCUCACAGCCCAUUGAUAUGAAGAACUUUAGGCCUAUUGGCCUGUGCAAUGUCCUCUACAAGAUAAUAGCUAAAGUAGUGGCUAAUAGAUUUUAAAAUGUCCUAAAAGUUUACAUUGAUAAAGCUCAAAGUGCAUUCGUUCCAGGCUGACUUAUUACGGAUAAUGUGCUUGUGGCUUAUGAGAUCAUGCAUACGUUGAAGAAUAAAAGAGUAGGGAAAAAAAGGGCAUGUGGCACUUAAACUGGCCAUGAGCAAAGCCUAUGAUAGGGUCGAAUGGGAAUUUCUUAGGGUUAUGAUGGAGAGAAUGGGUUUUGCACAAUCUUGGGUGGCUUUCAUAAUGAAGUGUAUUUCGACGGUCUCCUAUUCAGUUCUUUUAAAUAGGAAAAAGGGAGAAGUUUUCAAACCAAUAAGAGGACUCCGACAAGGGUACCCCCUCAGUCCCUAUUUAUUUCUAAUUUACAGUGAAGGCAUGUCCUCAAUUAUACACCCAGCUCUAAUAAGAAAGGAAAUCAAAGGAUUGAAAGCUAGCAGACGAGGACCUAAGAUCUCACACAUUCUCUUUGCAGACGACUGCAUCAUUUUUGGUGAGGCAAUAUUUUUAGGAGCUUGAUAGAUCAAGAAUAUUUUUGCAGAAUAUGAAUCCUACUCAGAUUAGUGUGUGAACUUUGCAAAGUCUAUAAUAUUCUUUAGCACGAAUACUACAGAAACAAAUAAAUUGAUAGUUACGGGCUUGCUAGGCAUGAGGAGAUCAACUGAUAUUGAGAAAUACCUAAGUCUCCCUAAUUUGAUAGGGAAGAAAAAGAAAACUUCUUUCCAAAAUUUAAAGGAUAGGAUGAAAAGAAAAAUUGAUGGAUAGAGUUCUAGGUUCUUGUUACAAAGUGGAAAAGAGGUUUUUAUUAAAUUAGUUUUGCAAGUGAUUCCAACUUAUUCUAUGAUGUGUUUUCUUUUGCCAAAAACUUUAUGUGAGGAAAUGGAAUCAAUUAUUGCAAGGUACUGGUGGCAGAAGGGUCAUGGACGAAAAGGAAUACAUUGGUGCAGUUGGAAGAAUAUUUGUGAAUUAAAAUAUGAAGGAGGAUUGAGUUUCCAGGAUUUGGCCAAGUUUAACGUGGCUCUACUUGCUAAGCAAGGUUGGCGGUUAGUUGAGCAUCCAGAUUCUUUAGUAGCACAGGUUUUAAAAGCAAAGUACUACCCGACCACUAAUUUUCUACAAGUAGGGCUAGGAUGUAGACCUUUAUACAUGUGGAAAAGUAUUUGGGCAGCAAAAGGUCUUAUUAAAGAAGGUUUGGGGUGGAGAGUUGGCACUAGGGAAAAAUCUUAAUUAAUGAGGAUGCGUGGCUCCUUCGGGCAGCUAAUUACAGAAUUUGUUAUCCUAUUCUUAAUACUGAUAUUACUACUGUCAUAUCAUUAAUUGUUUGUAAUAAUAGGAGGUGGAAGGAAGAACUGAUUCGCAAUACCUUUAAGGCAAACAAUUCAGACAGAAUCUUAUGAAUCCCACUAGCGUUAGACGAGCAUACUGAUAUGGUCAUCUGGUGUGCAGAGCGCUCGGGUAAGUUCACAAUUUGUAGUGCUUAUAGACUAUUACAGACCUAAGAUCAUACAUCAGACUCUACUGCUACACAAAAUACAACCAAACUAUUUUACAAACAACUCUGAACACUCCAAAUACCAAAUAAAAUUAAAAUUAUGCUAUGGAGGAUAACACGAAACUAUUCCCAUGAUGGGCAACUUGUUUCAGUGAAGAGUGGUCCGAGAUUAUAAGUGCCCUAGAUAUAAAGCUUGCUCUGAGAAUCUAUGGUCUACAUUCGUUGGGUGUCUUAUAGCAAUAGAGUUAUGGAGAAGAUUAGAUUUUGAAUGGAUAAAUCAAGGUGAACCCAGUGGAUGGUUUGAUUGGAUUACAUGGAUUUUUAGUAAAUAUGGAGAAACCCAGCAUCGCGUUUUUGUCUGUGGAAUGUGGGUACUAUGGCUUGACAGAAACAGAAAUUUACAUGAAGAGAAGUCAUAUAAAGGGGAAGAUGCAACAAAUCAUGUUAAAUAUUAUAUUGGCGAAAUUGAUGGAUUGAAUGGGAGACAACCUAAAAUUACCCAGGAAGUUGAAAACUGGAAAGCCUCUGAGAAAUAAAAAAUCAAAAUCAAUUUUGAUGCCUCGUUUGAUAGUAAAAAUAACAUAUCAGCAUCUGGGAUAGUGGCGAGAACUGAAAAUUGUAACAUCCCGAAUUAGGGCCUAGUCGGAACAGUGGUUUUGAAACCACAAAUCUAAAGUAGAAAUAAUUAUUUUAUGAUUAUUAUAAGGUCUAUGAUAUGUUUACAUUCUUGUGUGAAAAUUUCAUGAAGAAAUUUUGUCUAAGGUGCUCAAUUAGACUUUAAGGACUAAAUUGAAUAAAUUGUAAAAUAUGAGUUCUAGAAGUUUUCAGUAUGAAAUUGAAUUGGAGUUUUAAUUAGAGGGUCUUAAAUAGCAAUUUGACUCAGUUCUAAAAUUUUGGACAAAAAUGGACUUGAAUAGAUAAAAUUUUAAAGAAAGGCUAAAAGGGCAUUUUGGUCAUUUGGUCAUUAAAUGGACUAAUGUCUAAAUAAAUAUGGGAAUGUGUUGAAUUGGAUGUACAUUGUAUGGUUAGCUAUGCAUAUUGAGAUACUUGAUGAAAAUAGAAAAUCCUGGUUGAAUAAAAAGGGGAAUCCGAUGGAUAAACCAUGGCUUACAUGACUUGAGAUCCUGCAUGUAUUGCAGAAAAGGAUUUAGCCCGGACGGGUAAUCCGUUGAUCUCAAAUAUAGAAAAUGAUCUAGCCUGGACGGGUGUUCCUUGAGUGAUCGAGCCUCCCGAAGAAUAUGUGUGCAUUAAGAAUUUAGCCUGGACGGGUAAUCUGAUUAGGAUCUGAAUUUAGCCUGGACUGGUAAUUCAGAUCCGAUCUCAUUUGGGUAUAUGUCGUUGUAGGGUAUUUAGCCUGGACUGGUAAUCUCGACAAUACUCUAUGAGUUUAUAUUACUGGGGAUUUAGCCUGGAUUGGUAAUCUCGCCGUAAGAUGUAAGGUUUGCGGGAGUGCGUAUUUGAAAUGAUCACUUGUAUGACUUGACGGUAAAUGGAUUAUCCAUCGAGAUUUUUGAGAAAUUCAACGGGUAUUAUAAUGAAUAAUGCGAUGAAAGUCCCGAGAUGGGCAUGGUGAUAAAGGUAAAGUUAAUUGAUAUGCUACGGAUAUGUACAGGUACGUACAUUAUACUCAUAAGUGAUGCCUUAUUGAAAUGUGAUAAAUGAUGAGUAAGCAAAUUCAUGCAUAUGUAUGCGUAUACAUGAUAAACAAGUAAAAAGGUUUGAAAGAUGAACCAUCCUUAUGCUUAUGAUUAUGGAUUGUGUUGUAAUAUCAUGUUAAUUUACAUUGUGUAAUGAGAUAUGGGUUUCAUGAAAUGAUGAGUUCAUGAUCAAUAAGCUUAUAAUAGUUACUAUGAAUUUGCACUGAAACAGUUUUGGACAGCAAUAAUAGUCCAACUUUGAAAAUCCACCAAAAAUAAUGGAAAUUGAGUUAGAGACUGAAUCAAAUAUGAAAUUAAAGCUUAUUGGGUCUAGUUUCAGUUAAAAGGAAUGGUGCUAGUAAAGGAAUCUCAUAUGAUGAGAUAUUUGAAUUCUUGUGAGACAGUGUCAGAAUGAGUUCGAAAUCCCCUGUUUUGACUUGGGAAAAUUACUAGAAAUUGUACAAAAAUAAUUAUGAGUUAGAAUCAUAUUAAUGAAAUCCUUAAUGAGUAUAAUUUCAGUAUAAAGAUACGGAAACAUUAUCCGAGUCUCGUACUAUGCGAUAAAUAAAUUUUAGUGAAGAAAGGUAGAAGCUGUCAAACAGUGAAACAUGAGAGAAUUUGAAUAAUAAACUGUACUUAUUGGCUAGACAAAAAAUUCUGGAAAUUUUAUUGUAAGGAGAUAAAUGAGUCUAGUUUCAGAAAAAAUUAAUGAAUCUUAAUUUGGAGUUCUGUAACUCUAGAUAUAAAUAAAUUAAUAACUACGACUCGAGAAAACAGCUUAACCAGAAUAUGAGUAAAAGUGUCAUUAUGGUUGAUUGCCUAAGGAAACAUGUUGUUAUAAUGCUUAUUAUUUUCAUAUGGACUUACUAAGCUUUAGGCUUACUCCCUCCUUUCCAUUUCCUUAGUGUUCUCAGGUUAGCUUGGGGUUGGAGAUCGUCGGAGGCAGCAUCAAACUAUCAAGUUAUCAACUCUAGAGUAUUGUCAUACGUGUAUUAAACACUUUCAAGUGAGUGGCAUGUAUAAGGAUUAGGUUUUACAUUAGAUGUUGUUAUGAUUAGCCAAAUGUACCAGCUUAUAUUGAUCUAUUGUAUAUAGCCAUGAGAUGUGGCUUAUUAUGGUUAUGGCUUGUAAGUCUAAUUAUUCGUGCUAUGGGUUAAUGCAUGUCGUGUGAUUAUAAUUGGUUGCUAUGAAUAAUUAGUAUAACACAUGUAUAUGAUGAAUGUCCUAGAACCAUUCGAGGUGAUCACGGCCAUGGAAUGAAUAUAUGGCCUGGUAGUUAGUUGAAAAUGAUUAAACAUGGACAAUUGUAGAAUGUGUAGAGAUUAAAUGCUGGGUAAUAAACACAUGUAAGACAAUAUGCAAUUUAUUUAUUUGAAUCUUUCUCAAGGUCGAUUAACAAUUAAAUUGAUGCUAUAAGUUAGGUCCAUGAUGUGUAAAGUAUGGGAAAGAAUUAAGGACAACAUAAGGCUUCGAAAAUAGCCUAAGUGUUGGCCAUACGGGCAGAGAACGGCCAUGUUUCUCAGCCAUGUGGAGGACAUGGUCUAGCACACGGGCGUAUGGCUUGACCGUGUGGAUCAAUUUGUUUGGCUAACAUUAUAAAUAGAGAGUUACACUGGCCGAGGAUAUGAGCGUAUUCCAAGCCACACAGGCGUGUGUGACCACACGGCCCAACCCACACGGGCAUGUGACUCUCCAAAGCAAGAAAAUUGGUUAAGUUGUCAAAAGUUUGUCGAAAGUUCUCAGUUCAGUCCGAACCACCCCAAUGCAUGUUACAGGCUUCGAAGGCCUAUUUAAGGGACGAUAUGCAUGUGUUUAAGAUGUUUUAAUUUUGGGCAAAAAUUUUGUGACCUGAUUUUGCAUGUUGUGAAUGUUUAAGUCUGGUAACGCCUCGAACCCUGUCUCGGCAUUGAAUACGGGUAAGGAGUGUUACAAAAAUGAGGAGGUUGAAAUUUCUAAAUGUUACCUUCAUAUAACGGUAGGCACGGCCUUUGACGCAGAAGCGAUUGCCUGCUACGAAGCUGCUCUCACAAGAUUAAAGAUAGGAUACACAAAGGUUGUUAUUGAGAACGACUCCAAGUCCAUCAUCAACAAAUGCAUGACACAAUCGGUGGACAAAUCACAAGUUAGUGCGCAUAUUCGAAAUAUUCGAAGAGAAAAAAGUAAGUUCUAGACCAUUACAUUUCAUUAUGUUCCAAGAUCGGCUAAUCACUUAGCCAACACCAUUGCUACAACAAGUUUGAAGGAAAUGGAGACGAUUUACCUGCUUGGAGAGGUCCCUUGCUACACCAAUAGACAGUGGGAACUGGAUCACCCACGGGAACCUAAUUGAAACGAAGAAGAGGAAAACAGGGAAUGGGGUAUUUGAGAGCGACCCUAAUCAAAACUGUCAGGCCUCAUCUCCAAUGAAAAUGAAAAGUUAUCCGUGUAAAAGGCAAAGUUGGAGACAGGUCAUUCAAAAUGGAUGAGGAUUUUAAGUUUAUUUAUUGUUUUAAUUAGUUUUGGUCUUUUUGCUUCUACUUUUAGCCGUCGCUUUGUUUCUUUUUAGUCUGAUGAUUAGACUAGUGCUUUUC